rnacentral:rRNA from 1 species
AUUGAACGCUGGCGGCAGGCCUAACACAUGCAAGUCGAGCGAGCGGCGGACGGGUGAGUAAUGUAUGGGGACUGCCCGAUAGAGGGGGAUAACUACUGGAAACGGUGGCUAAUACCGCAUACUAUCGGAUAACCCAUAUGGGAUUAGCUAGUAGUUGGGGUAAAGGCUCACCUAGGCGACGAUCUCUAGCUGGUCUGAGAGGAUGAUCAGCCACCCUAGGACGUAAACGAGACCCAGACUCACACGGAGGCGGCGGUGGGGAAUGUAGCACAGUGGAAUCAAGCCUGGUGCAGCCAUGCCGCGUGGAUUAAGAAGGCCUUAGGGUUGUAAAGUACUUUCAGCUGGGAGGCGGUACCAGAAGAAGAAGCACCGGCUAACUCCGUGCCAGCAGCCGCGGUAAUAC